GACGAACGCUGGCGGCGUGCUUAACACAUGCAAGUCGUACGGUAAGGCCCUUUCGGGGGUACACGAGUGGCGAACGGGUGAGGAACACGGGAGGAACCUGCCCACAACUUGGGGAUAACGCUAGGAAACUGGUGCUAAUCCUGGAUAUGUGCUCCUGCUGCAUGGUGGGGGUUGGAAAGCUCCGGCGGUUGUGGAUGGACUCGCGGCCUCUCAGCUUGUUGGUGGGGUAGUGGCCUACCAAGGCGGCGACGGGUAGCCGGCCUGAGAGGGUGACCGGCCACAUUGGGACUGAGAUACGGCCCAGACUCCUACGGGAGGCAGCAGUGGGGAAUAUUGCACAAUGGGCGCAAGCCUGAUGCAGCAACGCCGCGUGCGGGAUGACGGCCUUCGGGUUGUACACCGCUUUCAGCAGGGACGAAGCUUUUUGUGACGGUACCUGCAGAAGAAGCACCGGCUAGCUACGUG
rnacentral:rRNA from 1 species